AACGAACGCUGGCGGCAGGCUUAACACAUGCAAGUCGAACGCCCCGCAAGGGGAGUGGCAGACGGGUGAGUAACGCGUGGGAAUCUACCCAUCCCUACGGAAUAACGCAUGGAAACGUGUGCUAAUACUGUAUACGCCCUACGGGGGAAAGAUUUAUCGGGGAUGGAUGAGCCCGCGUUGGAUUAGCUAGUUGGUGGGGUAAAGGCCUACCAAGGCGACGAUCCAUAGCUGGUCUGAGAGGAUGAUCAGCCACAUUGGGACUGAGACACGGCCCAAACUCCUACGGGAGGCAGCAGUGGGGAAUAUUGGACAAUGGGCGCAAGCCUGAUCUAGCCAUGCCGCGUGAGUGAUGAAGGCCUUAGGGUUGUAAAGCUCUUUCACCGGAGAAGAUAAUGACGGUAUCCGGAGAAGAAGCCCCGGCUAACUUCGUG
rnacentral:rRNA from 1 species